CUUUCUCCGCGGGCGGCGUGAGGAGCAGUUAUAUAUUUGAGAAAUCUGAAGUGAGCGAGCGUUGAUUUGGAAGAUACUGGUGCCUGAUUGCAUCGAGAUGCUGACAACAGAAAAGAAUCCAUGUGUCUAGUGGGAGAGGGUGAGUAUAUUGAGAGAAUUGGCCCCAGUAAUAAAUGGAGGUGAUAGCUAAGGGUCAGUUCAUGCGGUAUCUGGAGUCAAAAUGUAGCCCCAGAGAUGAGAACGGGCUGGAAGAUCCCCACAAAUGAGAAUAAAAGGCCUGAUUCUGUGGUGGGUUGUGCAGCUGCUGAAUGGGAAAGCCAAUAAAGCCAUGGGGCUGGGGUGAAUUUGGUGUUGCCUUAAAGGCACCACGAAAAAAGAAAAAAGCCACCCUAGAUGGCUGGCCCACCAGGAAGGAGCUGCCUUUGGGGUGUUCUCAAAGGGUGGGAGCCCGGGGUAUGAAAAAGCAAGAAAAAGAAGCCAUGUGUGGACUUGGACUUGCCACCAGCUGGUCUGUGGACCCACGUCCCCCCCCAGCAGUGGGGC